UUGGAAGGGCGGAGAAUCGCUUUCCCCGAAUGAAUCCGGGGAAGGAGGAAAGUCCGAACACCAAAGGGCGCGAUGCCGCGUAACCGGCCGGAGCCGGGCGCUACCCCCCGUGCGAACAGCAUGGAGGCAGGCCAACCUGGCUCACGGCGGGAUACACGCGGGAGGUGAUGCCGUGAGGCAUCCCGACGGACAGUGCCGCAGAAAAUUAAACCGCCGUAGCCCCGGCAACGAGGCUGCGGUAAGGGUGAAAAGGUGGGGUAAGAGCCCACCGCUCCAAGCGCAAGCGCGGAGGCACGGAAAACCCCAUCGGGUGCAAGGCCAAAUAGGGGACCCCGGAGCGGCCCGCUCCAGGUUCCGAACCGCGGAACGGGUCCCGGGUUCUGGCUGCUGAGACAAAUGAUUCUCUCCGCCCGGCAACGGGCGCAGACAAAAUUCGGCUUACAGCCCUUCCAAUACC
rnacentral:RNase_P_RNA from 1 species